CUACGGGGCGCACCAGUGGGGAAUAUUGCACAAUGGGCGCAAGCCUGAUGCAGCAACGCCGCGUGAGGGAUGAAGGCCUUCGGGUUGUAAACCUCUUUUAGCAGGGAAGAAGCGAAAGUGACGGUACCUGCAGAAAAAGCACCGGCUAACUACGUGCCAGCAGCCGCGGUAAUACGUAGGGUGCAAGCGUUGUCCGGAAUUAUUGGGCGUAAAGAGCUCGUAGGCGGUUUGUCACGUCUGCUGUGAAAAUCCAAGGCUCAACCUUGGACUUGCAGUGGGUACGGGCAGGCUAGAGUGCGGUAGGGGAGAUGGGAAUUCCCGGUGUAGCGGUGGAAUGCGCAGAUAUCAGGAGGAACACCAAUGGCGAAGGCACGUCUCUGGGCCGUAACUGACGCUGAGGAGCGAAAGCGUGGGGAGCGAACAGGAUUAGAUACCCGAGUAGUC
rnacentral:rRNA from 1 species